AGCGAACGCUGGCGGCAGGCCUAACACAUGCAAGUCGAGCGCCCCGCAAGGGGAGCGGCAGACGGGAGAGUAACACGUGGGAACAUGCCCUUCAGUACGGAACAACCAAGGGAAACUUUGGCUAAUACCGUAUACGUCCGUAAGGAGAAAGAUUUAUCGCUGAAGGAUUGGCCCGCGUCUGAUUAGCUAGUUGGUGAGGUAAUGGCUCACCAAGGCGACGAUCAGUAGCUGGUCUGAGAGGAUGAUCAGCCUCACUGGGACUGAGACACGGCCCAGACUCCUACGGGAGGCAGCAGUGGGGAAUAUUGGACAAUGGGCGCAAGCCUGAUCCAGCCAUGCCGCGUGGAUGAUGAAGGCCCUAGGGUUGUGAAGUCCUUUCGGCGGGGAAGAUAAUGACGGUACCCGCAGAAGAAGCCCCGGCUAACUUCGUGCCAGCAGCCGCAGUAAGAC
rnacentral:rRNA from 1 species